AGGCGAUUGGUUUAAGAAAAACAUUUGAUUUCGGCUCAAACGCUCGUGGUUAAAGUCCACCUCCGCCUA
rnacentral:tRNA from 1 species